rnacentral:rRNA from 1 species
UACGUAGGUGGCAAGCGUUAUCCGGAUUUAUUGGGCGUAAAGGGAACGCAGGCGGUCUUUUAAGUCUGAUGUGAAAGCCUUCGGCUUAACCGGAGUAGUGCAUUGGAAACUGGGAGUCUUGAGUGCAGAAGAGGAGAGUGGAACUCCAUGUGUAGCGGUGAAAUGCGUAGAUAUAUGGAAGAACACCAGUGGCGAAAGCGGCUCUCUGGUCUGUAACUGACGCUGAGGUUCGAAAGCGUGGGUAGCAAACAGG